rnacentral:misc_RNA from 1 species
UUUCCGUAGGUGAACCUGCGGAAGGAUCAUUACAGUAGUCGCCCGGGUUGCCGCAAGGCCUCCCGGGUAACCUACCACCCUUUGUUUAUUACACUUUGUUGCUUUGGCAGGCCUGCCCUCGGGCUGCUGGCUCCGGCCGGCGAGCGCUUGCCAGAGGACCUAAACUCUGUUUGUCUAUACUGUCUGAGUACUAUAUAAUAGUUAAAACUCUCAACAACGGAUCUCUUGGUUCUG